UUCACUUUACAACCAUUUAACUGACGUCACAAGGUAGACAACGAGACGCUCACGCCACCAGCUCCACAUCAGUUCACAGCUGGCCUCCACGCAGUCCAGACCUCUCCUGCUCCAGUUAGUUUUUCACCUUUCACCGACUUUUUCCACGUAGCCUGACCGAUGUCGGACCAGAACGAGGCUCACGGAACGCCAAGGCGUUCGUCAUCGUCGUCCUCUGAGAAGAAGAGACGUGAGAAAGACUCUGUGCCUUUACCGGCCAGUUAAAGGAGGGCCACCCAGGACACGGGAGUGAAGGACGGCCCGAGUCAACCACGGCCCGAGUGUGGUUCACCACCAGCUGUGGCCGGCCCAAGUCGCGCCAACACAACAACCGAGUGCUCGUCUGGCGGUGAAACUAUCAACCGGCUAUCUGCAUUGUUGAGUGAUUUAAUUGAAAAACUCGACAAUAACCCAGUACGGGAAGAUGAGCCUUACGAUAACUGUGAAAAUAUUCGUGGCCUUCAUGACAUUUCCUCGUCUGAGGAAGACGCCACAGUAAAUUCAGUGGGUUUGCUUGACCCUUAGGAUGAACUGGACACGUUCCACUCCAUGCCUGCGUCCCAAGACUGUGAUGAGGUUGAUUUUCUUAAGGCAUUAGGGGAAUUCUCAGGUCUUUUCCAUAGUGAGGAACAGAAAGGAGAGCCUCUCUCUGAGCGUUUGGCCUCCAUCCUGAACUUGAGUUUGAGACGUCGACCCUCCGCUGAAGGUAUAAAAUCUACUUGUGAAAAAAUCAAGCUCCCAAGCAAUGUGCCAAACCUAAAAGUUCCGGUGACCAACGCUGCUGUUUCCAAAGCGAUGAGUUUUGGUGGAAAAUUGAUUGACGCCAAGCUUACUCAAACUAAUGGCCUGAUCUCAAAAGCUUUAGUUCCUAUUGCAUAUUGUGCAUAAGCGAUAUCGGGGAAAAGAAAGGAAAAAAUAUAAAUUCAUACUUAGAUGGACUAAACAUGAGUCUUAGACUGCUUUCCUCUGUUAUUAAUUACAUUAAUCAACUACGGAAAGAAGUUGCACGGCUCCAUGUUCACGACUCUGCCUUGGCCGAGCUUUGCAAGUGGGAGUAUGAGGUUGGACAAGAUGCUCUUUUUCCGUUUGAUGUGACUAAGAAAUGCGAGGAAAUACAUAAAACAAAGAAACUGGGAAGGCCUACAUACCGUCCUUACAAGUCUUCUGGGAGGAGGUAUGCUUCAAACAAGCAAACUAGGCGGCCCUAUCAGGUUUCCUCGUAUUCUCGGCUACAUAACCAGCCAAGGCCUUUUUUAGGCCAGAAGCAUCCCCAGGGGAGAGGGAUGCAUUUACCAAAACUCCACCAAUAAGCCACCCCAGGGAUCAUCUCAAGAGUCUUGAAGAAACUCCAAGAAGACGAGGCAUCAAUACUGAUGAUAUUCCCACUGUGGCCGACCCAGUUUUGGUUCCCCAAAGCUCUCCAGCUAAUGGCAGCAGUUCCCGUUCUUCUCCCCAAAAAUUCCCUAGUUCUUCCACAACAUCCUACUCAACGCCAUCCACAGGCUCAGAGACUCAAAACAGACCAGCACCACCACCACCAGCACCACCACCACCACUACCUAACGCUGUGUCCAGGCUGGAAUGUGUGACCUCUCUGCCAGGAAUGUCACCGUCCUCUCACACUCUGACACCAAGUACCUCACAACACCUGCAAUACUACACCUCUGAGUCCCCCCGGAGGUAAAACGUGAUUUUUGAGUUGUAUUGUGUUUGCUAAAGUGUUUGCUUCAAAAGAAAUGGUUACUUAUUGAUUUAUUUUUUUUGUGGAUGUGUGUUAUUUACUUGUGUUUGUGUGUGUGUGUGUGUGUGUGUGUGUUGCCCUAUAUAUAGAACACAUUUUUGAGGUAGAACAGUUUACGUGACAACAACCACCGCCAUCACCGCCACGCAUGGAAACACUUGCCCGGCUCAUUACGAGAAGCUACAGUAAUUUCUUCCCCGCGUCCCGAGUCUUGUGAUCUUUUGAGCCAAACUUACCCCGCAGCUUACGAGUACUUAACACGAAGCGAGUUUGUGUAAUUAUUAAUGUUUGUCUGAGUGGAGCCAAUUUGAGCGUGUGGCCCUGAGUGAGGCGCCACACCUGCCUCGCUGCCCUCUUCUAGUCCACGUCCUCUUCCUUUUCCUCUUCGUCUUCGUCUUUUCCUUUAUCUUCCUCUUCUUUUUUUUCUUCCUUUUCCUCUUCCUCUUUUCCUCCUCCUUUUCCUCCUCCUCCUCCUCCUUUCAGAAAUUUUCAAUCAAUCAGUGCUCCUCCUCCCAGCACCCUAUCACCUGAGUUCUCCCUCUUCGUUUUCCAUCACAAGAUUAAGCAUGGUUCCAGCACAACGUAAU